UUGAAGGUACUUGGCAACAGCCCUACAAGAAAGUGUAUUAUGCAUUGCAAUAACUUAAACAAUGAAUAGAAGGACAGCAAAAAUUUGUAAACCAAGUCAAUUUAAUAAAAAUUAUGGAAAAAAGAAUUGGUUAGCCAAGAAGUUUAUGAAAUUAUCCCAGUCACCAUAACUAAGAGAAGCUUUGUAUCAUAACCAAAACCGAGUAAAAUGGAUAUCAAAGACAAUAAAUUGCUCCGAUGAAUAAGGGAUGAAUCAUUCUUAGUUUUCUAGUCAAACAAUUCCACAACUGUCAUCACGCUUCAUCCAAUUAGCUACCCAACCAAGAAACAUUGAGCCAAAACUUGUCAAAAACCAAAACACUCCAGCAAGAUACAUUUGGUUUUAAAGUGCCAAAUAAAUUGGCAUGGUUUGGUGAAAGAACAUGCUUCAAGAAAGAGGUUGUAGUAAGAUAAUGACAGUUUCUCAACUUUCAUCUGUGAGAGCAAGCUGCCCAAAAACACAAGAAAGAACAGAAAAGGUUCUCUAUGCCAACAAACUAGAUUUAUGUUUAGGGAAGGUCGAAAAUAGAAAUAUAAGAACAGCCUAUGCUAACAUGCUAUAUUAGGUAAACCCAAAUCACACAAAUCAUACACAC
rnacentral:misc_RNA from 1 species